UGGUGUGACUCCGUUGUCAUUUUAUAAAAAACCAAAAACAAAAAAUCCUACCAACAAAGAGGUGAUGGAGACCUUGGCGGAGUUAAGGGCACAAGUACUCGAACUGCAAAAGGAGAAUGCAAGGUAUAGAGAGGAAAGUGCGGUUCCGAGGCAAAAGAUACUAGUGACCGAGCUAGUAUCAAUUGUCAACCGAAAUUUCCCGAGGUAUAUUAUAGUAUUAUGAAAUAAAAUAGCACUUUUUACUUGAACACAUAUACACGUUAACAUAACAUUUAUUAUUGGUUUAGGGUAUUACACCUUGUCAGCUGUAUCUAUCGUCACCAACUUAUCGCAUAGUUGGCAAGGGAAAAGUGCACAACACUUCGGCUGAAUUACUUCACCAUAAUCCC
rnacentral:lncRNA from 1 species